AUGGGUUUUGGUUUUCUUUUUUCAGGCAGCGUCUUUCUAUAUAGUUCAGGCUGGCCUUAAACUCACUAUGUAUCCCAGGGUGUUCUCAAACUCAUGGAAAUCCUCCUGCCACAGCCUCCUGAGUGCUGAGAUUACAAGCAUGUGCCACCAUGCCCAGCCUUCUUGGAUUCUACUUGAAGCAGAAACAAAUGAUAAGUGGACUCAGGCUCAGAAAAAUGAACAGAGGCCAGGACAAUGCAGACCCAAGCGGCAGGCAUCACCGCAGUUAUCUCACCACAAGGUGCUCACUGUCCCUGCGCUGCCCUCCUACCGCCGCCACAGCCCCUUUCGGGAACGAGUUCUGACCAUCAGUUCAUCUUUUCAUCAUUCGUGCACUAUUCAAACCCUGGAACGGGAGCAUUUGUUCAGUCUUGUGAAGGAGACAAGAAAGAGGGAUUUUCCCUGUUGGUUUCUGGGUUUCUGUAGGAGGAGGUGAACCACCACCUCUUACUGUGAAAGAAGUCAGAAGGUGGAAGGUUGAAUAACAGAUCGCCAAACAAACAAAACAAAACAAGACAAGGCUGGGAGGGAGCUCAGUGGUACAGUCCUUGCUUAGCAUGUGUGAGGCCCUUGAUUUCAAUCCCCAAACCCUGAUAAAGAGAAAAAUGA
rnacentral:lncRNA from 1 species